AACUUGUCUCUUAAUUGGAUAAUAGAAUGAACGAAGACCCCCCUCAAGAAUUUAUUAUAAAAACCCCCCCGAAAUUAGAAUUUUUGUGAAAAUCCUAAAAUGUAGUACUUAGACGAUAAGACCCUAUGAAGCUUAACCAGGGGAGUUAGAAGUUAGAAUAGGAGGCCCCCUUCUUCUGGUUUAAUUGGGGUAAUUUGCAAUAGUAAUAUUAUAACCGCUGGUUUAGCUUAUUGAGCCUAAAGGGAGCAAAAUUAGCUACUCUAGGGAUAACAGCACCAUAGUUAAAAAAGUUCUUAUUAGAAUAACUGC
rnacentral:rRNA from 1 species